GGAUGUGAAGAUGAUCUAGCUGUACCAUCUAUUACUCCAUUGACCAUCAGGGUUAAUUUAACUGGUCUGGCUGGCUAAGAGAGUGUCAACUUCUUCCCUCACUGUCCAUGAACAGUCCAGUGGAAGCUGCACCCUUGGUCAAAGAGGACUGGGUUUUGGUCAAGGGUAUUUGACUAGCUAUGCUCCCCAGCUAGAACUUCCAAACAAACUCUCAUAGAGCUGGUUCUUUAAAAGGAUUUAAAAAAAUAAGAAUCCUUACUCAAUCUAACUGAAAGAAAGUACACAAAGACCAAUAUUA
rnacentral:snRNA from 1 species